GCUUGUCUCAAAGAUUAAGCCAUGCAUGUCUCAGUAUAAGCUUUCACACGGCGAAACUGCGAAUGGCUCAUUAAAACAGUUAUCGUUUCUUUGGUGGUUAUUGAUUCCAUGGAUAGCCGUGGUAAUUCUAGAGCUAAUACAUGCGUCAAAACCCAACUUCUGGGAGGGUUGUAUUUAUUAGAUGGAAACCAAUGCGGGGCAACCCGGUAUAUGGUGAUUCAUAAUAACUUUCGGAUCGAUCUUCGGAUCGAUGCAUCAUUCAAGUUUCUGCCCUAUCAGCUUUGGAUGGUAGGGUAUUGGCCUACCAUGGCUUUAACGGGUAACGGAGAAUUAGGGUUCGAUUCCGGAGAGGGAGCCUGAGAAAUGGCUACCACAUCCAAGGAAGGCAGCAGG
rnacentral:rRNA from 1 species